rnacentral:rRNA from 1 species
CCCCGAGAUGAGUUCUCCCUGAGACUUAGAGUCUCCUGAAGGAACGUUGAAGACGACGACGUUGAUAGGCCGGGUGUGUAAGCGCAGCGAUGCGUUGAGCUAACCGGUACUAAUGAACCGUGAGGCUUAACCUU